UGGGGAAUUUUGGACAAUGGGGGAAACCCUGAUCCAGCCAUCCCGCGUGUGCGAUGAAGGCCUUCGGGUUGUAAAGCACUUUUGGCAGGAAAGAAACGUCGUGGGUUAAUACCCCGCGAAACUGACGGUACCUGCAGAAUAAGCACCGGCUAACUACGUGCCAGCAGCCGCGGUAAUACGUAGGGUGCAAGCGUUAAUCGGAAUUACUGGGCGUAAAGCGUGCGCAGGCGGUUCGGAAAGAAAGAUGUGAAAUCCCAGAGCUUAACUUUGGAACUGCAUUUUUAACUACCGGGCUAGAGUGUGUCAGAGGGAGGUGGAAUUCCGCGUGUAGCAGUGAAAUGCGUAGAUAUGCGGAGGAACACCGAUGGCGAAGGCAGCCUCCUGGGAUAACACUGACGCUCAUGCACGAAAGCGUGGGGAGCAAACAGGAUUAGAUACCCUGGUAGUCCACGCCCUAAACGAUGUCAACUAGCUGUUGGGGUCUUCGGACCUUGGUAGCGCAGCUAACGCGUGAAGUUGACCGCCUGGGGAGUACGGUCGCAAGAUUAAAACUUAAAUGAAUUGACGGGGGUCAUAGCUGUUU
rnacentral:rRNA from 1 species